CGUCUGGGAUGUGAGGAGCCCCUCUGCCUGGCUGCCCAGUCUGGAAGGUGAGGAGCGUCUCCGCCCGGCCGCCAUCCCAUCUAGGAAGUGAGGAGAGCCUCUUCCCGGCUGCCAUCACAUCUAGGAAGUGAGGAGCGUCUCUGCCCGGCCGCCCAUCGUCUGAGAUGUGGGGAGCGCCUCUGCCCUGCCGCCCCGUCUGGGAUGUGAGGAGCGCCUCUGCCCGGCCGUGACCCCGUCUGGGAGGGGAAGAGCGUCUCUGCCCGGCAGCCCCGUCUGAGAAGUGAGGAGACCCUCUGCCUGGCAACCGCCCCGUCUGAGAAGUGAGGAGCCCCUCCACCCGGCAGCCGCCCCGUCUGAGAAGUGAGGAGCCUCUCCGCAAGGCAGCCACCCCGUCUGGGAAAUCUCCAUCGCACAGAUGAGAAAACUGAUGUGCAGAGAGAUGAAAUUACUUGGUACCUUUCACCCUACAUGAGUCUGGUUGAUCUUCAGUUUAAAGUGGAUUCCAAGAUCUCACUCUUCUUUUUCACUUGAACAAAAAUGCCUGGGGGAGGGAGUGUUUGUUCAUCUGAAGGCUGAUUUAUUUCUCUUUCCUUCUAGAACAAUACAUAAAAAGAACCAAAAGAAAAAACAAAGAGGAGGUCGAGGCAGAUGGAUCACUUGAAGUCAAGAUUUCGAGACAAACCUGGCCAACAUGGCGAUACCGAAAAAUAAAAAAAUUAGCCAAGCAUGGUGGCGC
rnacentral:lncRNA from 1 species